UGGGGUGGCAUUGGCGGAGGGGAUACACCUCUUCCCAUUCCGAACAGAGAAGUUAAGCCCUCCAGCGCCGAUGGUACUGCCCGGGAGACCGGGUGGGAGAGUAGGUCGCCGCCCCAU
rfam:Candidatus Eisenbacteria bacterium RBG_16_71_46 RBG_16_scaffold_2321, whole genome shotgun sequence.